AUUGAACGCUGGCGGCAGGCUUAACACAUGCAAGUCGAGCGGAGCGAGGGUGCUUGCACCUUAGCUUAGCGGCGGACGGGUGAGUAAUGCUUAGGAAUCUGCCUAUUAGUGGGGGACAACAUUCCGAAAGGAAUGCUAAUACCGCAUACGCCCUACGGGGGAAAGCAGGGGAUCUUUGGACCUUGCGCUAAUAGAUGAGCCUAAGUCGGAUUAGCUAGUUGGUGGGGUAAAGGCCUACCAAGGCGACGAUCUGUAGCGGGUCUGAGAGGAUGAUCCGCCACACUGGGACUGAGACACGGCCCAGACUCCUACGGGAGGCGGCAGUGGGGAAUAUUGGACAAUGGGCGGAAGCCUGAUCCAGCCAUGCCGCGUGUGUGAAGAAGGCCUUUUGGUUGUAAAGCACUUUAAGCGAGGAGGAGGAGCUCUAGGUUAAUACCCUAGAUGCUUGGACGUUACUCGCAGAAUAAGCACCGGCUAACUCUGUGCCAGCCGCCGCAGUAACAC
rnacentral:rRNA from 1 species